UAAAAUAAAAUUUAAAAUAAAAAGGGGGAGCAGAGAUAUGGGUAGCCUUGAGCUGGACCUUGAAGAUCGAGUGGGAAUCAGCAGGGGUGGGGGCACAUUUGGGCUGUGCUCCUUCUGGAAGCUCUAGGGGGAGAGUCUUGUUCCUUGCCUCGUCUAGCUUCAGGUGGUUGCUGGCAUUCCUUGGCUGUGGCCAAAUCGCUUCAUUCUCUGCUUCUGUGAUCCCAUUGCCUGCUCUCUGUGAAAUCUCCUUCUGCUCCUUCUUAUCAGGAUACAUGGGAUGUAAUUUAGGGCCCACCUGCAUAAUCCAGGAUAAUCUCUCCAUCUUAGAGUCAUUAUCUUGAUAACAUCUGCAAAGUCUGUUACCAUACAAGGCAGUGUUCACAGAUUUCCAGGGGCUAGGACCAGGACAUCUUUGGUUGACCCAUUAUUCAGCCUCGCACACUAUUUUGCAGCCCCAGGACUGCUGACAGACACAUGGCAUGGCCACCACUAACCUGCAUUCAGGCGAAAUGGUCCCACCACUCUGUGCAAAACAGGGCAAGCUUUGCAGGCGAGGAGACCACCACCACCUUGGCAUAUGUCCCAUAUCCUCAUCCUAGUCCGUCAACGGAGCCCCAACAGGGUAGAAUGUCUCUGUGGUUUCUGGAGCUUACAGUUUCUGUCUGUCCUUUUCAACACUUUUGCCCUAUAGCCCUUCCUGUUAUUUUGUGUUUCUUAGAAUGUGGCUAGCCGGCAGCCAACAUUCAUUUGAACCCAUGCCCCAUGUCAUCACUUUAUGGGGAUUCUUUCUUUUAGGCCAAGACAAGCUGGUGGUGGGGAUACCAUUUCUCCCCUCGCUUCAGAGAGAAAGGAACCACGGUUCUUUGAUUGGCUCAGUGGGUGACAUGUCAAAAGUGGUGGAAGGAGGUUUCAACCCCAGGCCUCCAGGCCAUUGAGCCAGCGUGCCAUACACUGCCUUCCCGUCAGUCACAAGUCCAUCUGAUUAUCAGUUUCCAGUGGUAUUUUUGAAAAUCUGAUUUCAUUUCACUAGAUAACUAGCAGCAUUCCUGUUGAGAAGCAAUGGUGGGAAUUCAUACUUUAUUGGAAAACAUCUAAUAUUUUUAAAGAUGACGGACUGAGACUGUAUCCCCUUUUCAUAAGGGAAGUGUCUGGAGUGAAGUCGCCCUCUGUAAGAGGGCAGCAGAAGCUCAGCUUCCUUAAGUUGAAUUCAAGUGAUCUGCUAUAUUUCUGUUGCUGCUCAACAGCCCUUUCUUCAGAAGUGCCUCAAAUUAAAAUUAUAAACAGGAUUUUGAGGAGAUACUUAAAAUGCUUGAAGAACUGAAGCUGCUCUAGUCAGUUUAAAAGCGAUGACUUCUGUACGAAUAAUUGAUGUGCCGUCAGGUCCCCUCACCUGUCCUUCUCGGCACUACUUUGUCCACUUAUCUGCAGUUACUGUUUAUGUCAAAAUAAUGGAAGUACAUAGCUUCAGAGGCACCUGGCUGGCUCAGUCGGUGGAGUAUGGGACUCUUGAUAGCGGGGUCAUUAGUUCAAGACGUACAUUGGGCGUAGAGCUUACUUAAAAAAAUAAGUAAAUCAAGUUAAAAAAAAUAACAGAAAGUACAUGUCUUUAAAGUUCUUUAUACUACAUCUUUCACUUAGUCUGAUUUUGCCUUGAAUCCGUGAAAAUGACCAUAAUACAUGGCUGUUGCAGAGCUGUUAGGAUUUGGGGGGCUCCAGAAAUGGCAUCAUGUAUGUGAAUGGCUGAUGAGCACGUGAAAACAUGGAGCCCUCAUACACUGACAGUGGCAAUGUGAAAUGGUCCAACCACUUCUGAAAACAGCUUAGCAGUUUCCUAAAAAGUUAAAUAAACAUACAUUUACUGUAUGAUCCAACCAUUUCACUCUUCGGUAUUUACCCAAGAGAAAUGAAAACUUAAGUCCCUACAAAUCUGUGUGUGCGAAAGUUCAUAGCAGCGUCAUUCAUAGUAACCAAAUGCUAGAAACAACCAAGUGUCAAUCAGCUAAGGAGUGGAUAAGUAACAUAUGACCGGUCCAUACAAUGGAAUACAUCUUGGCCAUAAAAAGGAAGGAAAUACGGACGCAGGCUACAACACAGAUGCACCUUAAAAACAUGAUGCUAAGCGACAGCAGCCAGACAUGAAAGAUCACCUAUUAUAUGAUUCCAUUUAGAUGACGUUUCUAGUAAAUGCAGAACUAUAGAGACAGAAAGCAAAUCCAUGGCUGCUGGGGGCUGAGGGUGGGAGCAGGGAUUGACCUCAGGUGGCACACGAGACUUUGCGGCCGAUGGAAGCCCUCUACAAGUGGAUUGGGCUGAUGCCCAUGCAGCUGUAUACAUUUAUGCCGUCUCAUCAGACUGCACACUCAUGAUGGGUAAAGUCCCAUGCUUCAUAAAGGAUAACUCCAUAAAUACCGAAAUCAUCCAAAAAUGACAUCCUAGCAAUAACUCUUUGUAUACAUAAGUUUAGUAGUAUUUCUACGUCUCAAACGUUUACCAGAAGGCUGUCACUUUAUCUUGACGUAGGUGUUCUACUUACAAGCCACAGAAUAGUUCAUAUUUUGUCGAUUUAAAGGCUAAAAGGUGAUUUCCCUUGUGUCAGGCCUUUAAGGUCUAGACUAGACCUGUUGGGCCAGUGAUUUUUCUAAAAUGAUCGCUGCUAUGGGUUGAAUUGAACCCCGUCCCCCCAGAAUUUCAUCUAUUGAAACCUUGACCCCCCAGGACCUCAGAGUGUGACCUUUUUAGAACUAGGCUCCUUGCAGAUGCAAUGAGUUCAGAUGAUGUCAUACCGGAGUAGAGGGCCCCUGAUCCAGUAAGACUGGUGUCUUUAUUCAAAGGGGAAAUUUGGACACAGAGACACAGGCACAGGGAGAAAAUCGUGUGAAGAUUGCAGUUUUGCUGCCACGAGCCAAGGAACUCUACCAGAGCUAUGAGAAGGUCUGGAACAGGUCCUUCCCUAGAGCCUUCAGAGGGAGCCUGGCCCUGCCCACACUUUGGUCUCGGGCUUUUAGCAACAUAAUACAUUCCUGUUGUUUAAGCCACAGGCUGUGGUACUUGGCAAUGACACAGCCCUCAGUACUCUAAUCACAUGAACUUUAAAGGAGUUUGAAAUGCAGUUUGGCUUUGUGUGCAUUGAGUUUGGUUGUUGUUUUUUUUUAAUAACCUACUCUCAUUAGAAUGCCAUUGCCCCAGAGGAAGAGCAGCAGGCCCCACAGCUCCUGCUGUUCCAUUUGCAGAAGGCUUUCUGUCCUAGACAGUAGCAGUUUUUUGAAAACAUGACCUUUUCUGGGGUUCAAAACGAUCAUUUCAAAUGUCAGCAGUAUCUUACAGCUACCUCCUAAUCGCGUGUUCUUUGCCAGCUUGUUUUGACGGGAGCCAUUCAAGUAGCAGACAAAGUUUCUUCAGGGAAGAGCUCAGUGCUUGUGCACUGCAGCGACGGCUGGGACAGGACCGCCCAGCUGACGUCCCUGGCCAUGCUGAUGCUGGACAGCUUCUAUCGGAGCAUCGAGGGGUUUGAAAUAUUGGUGCAAAAAGAAUGGAUAAGUUUUGGACACAAAUUUGCAUCUAGAAUAGGUCAUGGUGAUAAAAACCACGCCGAUGCUGACCGAUCUCCUAUUUUUCUCCAGUUUAUUGAUUGUGUAUGGCAGAUGUCGAAACAGUUCCCUACAGCUUUUGAAUUCAACGAACGAUUUUUGAUUACAAUUUUGGAUCAUCUGUAUAGUUGCCGAUUUGGUACUUUCUUAUACAACUGUGAAUCUGCUCGAGAA